rnacentral:rRNA from 1 species
UACGGGAGGCAGCAGUGGGGAAUAUUGCACAAUGGGCGCAAGCCUGAUGCAGCCAUGCCGCGUGUAUGAAGAAGGCCUUCGGGUUGUAAAGUACUUUCAGUCGUGAGGAAGGUGUUAAGGUUAAUAACCUUAGCAAUUGACGUUAGCGACAGAAGAAGCACCGGCUAACUCCGUGCCAGCAGCCGCGGUAAUACGGAGGGUGCGAGCGUUAAUCGGAAUUACUGGGCGUAAGGGCACGCAGGCGGUUAAUUAAGUUGGAUGUGAAAUCCCCGGGCUUAACCUGGGAAUGGCAUUCAAGACUGGUUAGCUAGAGUCUUGUAGAGGGGGUAGAAUUCCGAUGUGUAGCGGUGAAAUGCGUAGAGAUGUGGAGGAAUACCGGUGGCGAAGGCGGCCCCUGGGACAAAGACUGACGCUCAUGUGCGAAAGCGUGGGGAGCAAACAGGGAUUAGAUA